rnacentral:sRNA from 1 species
GAUGCUUUGAUUCCCAUGUGAGAUUUAGCCCUCCUUGACUGAGCUGGUGGGGACUGGGGGUGGAGCGAGGGCCAGGGAGGGGGGUCGAGGUGGGCGUGGGAGUCCAGCCUACUGACGCUGCCUUGCCCUCCCAGUCGGCCGCCAGAAGAGCCGGCACCUGUUGUGCAAAUUGUCAGACGACAACCACCACCUUAUGGCGCCGAAACGCCAACGGGGACCCUGUCUGCAACGCCUGUGGCCUCUACUACAAGCUGCACAAUGUUAACAGGCCACUGACCAUGAAGAAGGAAGGGAUCCAGACUCGGAACCGGAAGAUGUCCAACAAGUCCAAGAAGAGCAAGAAAGGGGCGGAGUGCUUCGAGGAGCUGUCAAAGUGCAUGCAGGAGAAGUCGUCCCCCUUCAGUGCAGCUGCCCUGGCUGGACACAUGGCACCUGUGGGCCACCUCCCGCCCUUCAGCCACUCCGGACACAUCCUGCCCACUCCGACGCCCAUCCACCCCUCCUCCAGCCUCUCCUUCGGCCACCCCCACCCGUCCAGCAUGGUGACCGCCAUGGGCUAGGGAACAGAUGGACGUCGAGGACCGGGCACUCCCGGGAUGGGUGGACCAAACCCUUAGCAGCCCAGCAUUUCCCGAAGGCCGACACCACUCCUGCCAGCCCGGCUCGGCCCAGCACCCCCUCUCCUGGAGGGCGCCCAGCAGCCUGCCAGCAGUUACUGUGAAUGUUCCCCACCGCUGAGAGGCUGCCUCCGCACCUGACCGCUGCCCAGGUGGGGUUUCCUGCAUGGACAGUUGUUUGGAGAACAACAAGGACAACUUUAUGGAGAGAAAAGGAGGGGAUGGGACAGACGAAGGCAACCAUUUUUAGAAGGAAAAAGGAUUAGGCAAAAAUAAUUUAUUUUGCUCUUGUUUCUAACAAGGACUUGGAGACUUGGUGGUCUGAGCUGUCCCAAGUCCUCCGGUUCUUCCUCGGGAUUGGCGGGUCCACUUGCCAGGGCUCUGGGGGCAGAUUUGUGGGGACCUCAGCCUGCACCCUCUUCUCCUCUGGCUUCCCUCUCUGAAAUAGCCGAACUCCAGGCUGGGCUGAGCCAAAGCCAGAGUGGCCACGGCCCAGGGAGGGUGAGCUGGUGCCUGCUUUGACGGGCCAGGCCCUGGAGGGCAGAGACAAUCACGGGCGGUCCUGCACAGAUUCCCAGGCCAGGGCUGGGUCACAGGAAGGAAACAACAUUUUCUUGAAAGGGGAAACGUCUCCCAGAUCGCUCCCUUGGCUUUGAGGCCGAAGCUGCUGUGACUGUGUCCCCUUACUGAGCGCAAGCCACAGCCUGUCUUGUUUGUCAGGUGGACCCUGUAAAUACACCCUUUUUCUGCUAACCCUUCAACCCCCUCGCCUCCUACUCUGAGACAAAAGAAAAAUAUUAAAAAAAUGCAUAAGCUUAA